rnacentral:rRNA from 1 species
AGGGUCAUUGGAAACUGGGAGACUUGAGUGCAGAAGAGGCAGAGUGGAAUUUCCAUGUGUAGCGGUGAAAUGCGUAGAGAUAUGGAGGAACACCAGUGGCGAAGGCGACUUUCUGGUCUGUAACUGACACUGAGGCGCGAAAGCGUGGGGAGCAAACAGGAUUAGAUACCCCGGUAGUCCUCGCCGUAAACGAUGAGUGCUAAGUGUUAGAGGGUUUCCGCCCUUUAGUGCUGAAGUUAACGCAUUAAGCACUCCGCCUGGGGAGUACGGCCGCAAGGCUGAAACUCAAAGGAAUUGACGGGGGCCCGCACAAGCGGUGGAGCAUGUGGUUUAAUUCGAAGCAACGCGAAGAACCUUACCAGGUCUUGACAUCCUGUGAAAACCCUAGAGAUAGGGCUUCUCCUUCGGGAGCAGAGUGACAGGUGGUGCAUGGUCGUCGUCAGCUCGUGUCGUGAGAUGUUGGGUUAAGUCCCGCAACGAGCGCAACCCUUGAUCUUAGUUGCCAUCAUUAAGUUGGGCACUCUAAGGUGACUGCCGGUGACAAACCGGAGGAAGGUGGGGAUGACGUCAAAUCAUCAUGCCCCUUAUGACCUGGGCUACACACGUGCUACAAUGGACGGUACAAAGAGCUGCAAGACCGCGAGGUGGAGCUAAUCUCAUAAAACCGUUCUCAGUUCGGAUUGUAGGCUGCAACUCGCCUACAUGAAGCUGGAAUAGAUUGUAAUCGCGGCUCAGCAUGCCGCGGUGAAUACGUUCCCGGGCCUUGUACACACCGCCCGUCACACCACGAGAGUUUGUACACACCCGAAGUCGGUGGGGUAAC